rnacentral:rRNA from 1 species
AUUGAACGCUGGCGGCAUGCCUUACACAUGCAAGUCGAACGGCAGCACGGGUGCUUGCACCUGGUGGCGAGUGGCGAACGGGUGAGUAAUACAUCGGAACAUGUCCUGUAGUGGGGGAUAGCCCGGCGAAAGCCGGAUUAAUACCGCAUACGAUCUCCGGAUGAAAGCGGGGGACCUUCGGGCCUCGCGCUAUCGGGUUGGCCGAUGGCUGAUUAGCUAGUUGGUGGGGUAAAGGCCUACCAAGGCGACGAUCAGUAGCUGGUCUGAGAGGACGACCAGCCACACUGGGACUGAGACACGGCCCAGACUCCUACGGGAGGCAGCAGUGGGGAAUUUUGGACAAUGGGCGAAAGCCUGAUCCAGCAAUGCCGCGUGUGUGAAGAAGGCCUUCGGGUUGUAAAGCACUUUUGUCCGGAAAGAAAUCCUUGGCCCUAAUACGGUCGGGGGAUGACGGUACCGGAAGAAUAAGCACCGGCUAACUACGUG